rnacentral:tRNA from 1 species
AGCAGUGUGGCUCAGUGGAAAGAGCACGGGCUUAGCAGUCAGAGGUCAUGGGUUCUAAUCCCAGCUCUGCCA